CAGUUAGGCUGGUUUGGCCCAAUGCAAUAGGUUGACCCGGUUCGUAAUAGGAUUUUGGUUAGGUUUGUAGUUGAUUUUCUAGUUGUAUAAGAAUUAAUAUUUAAAUCUAUUGGAGAUAAAUUAAGAUUUAAAUAUUAAUUAGAGUAUAAUAACUAGAUUAUGAUAAAUAUCUAAAUUUAUUGGAGAUAAAUUAAACAUAGAUUUAAAUAUUAUUUGGAGUAUGAAUCCUAAUUAUCCUAGGAUUUGGGUACAUCUUGGGUUAAGCCUUAUAUAUAGCUCUAAGUAUGCAAAUUGGUGAAUUGUGCCUAGGUGGUGUACGGAUGAGAGAGAGCUUUUUAUGGUAGUGACCGCACCGUGGAGAAUCCUAGGCCCAGUUGUAUGCACCUAGGGCACGGGUGCAUAUGAGAGAGAAAAAGAGAGAGUUGUCUUCUUGUGGAUUUAUAGAAGAUGAGAGAAGGGUAAGACAGAUUCAAAAAGAGAGCUAGGGUUGUAGCUACUUUGUUACAGAAGAAGAGUCAGAUGUAAUCUUCUCUUAUUCAUUGAAUUAUAUUUUACUCGCAUAUUUUCUAUUUGGCUUUUUCUCAUUUUUAUGAUUGUAUUAGUUUUUGCUAAGGAAAUAGAAUUAUGGUAGAAAUCGGAUUCGACGCUCCUAUUACAGAAUCCCAACAUCUGGUACCGGAUCAACAGCAGUCGGUAUCAGAGCGGAUUGCGGAUUCUCAAGAUCCGGUACCAGAGCGAGUACCGGAUUCCCAACAAUUCUGUUCAAGCAAAGAAAGAGAGAAACCAGAUUCGGUUCAAGUUAAAAAACAGAAAAAUAUGGGAAGACUUGAGUAGAAUUGGAAGAACUCGCACUUAACAAUGGUCGAUUCAGUUCAAGCAAAGAAAGAGAAAAAUUCGGUUCGGUUCAAGCAAAAAAUUAAAGAGAGAAAUCUGUGGAGGACUUGAGCUGGUUCGGGAUGAAGUCCAUACUCAAUAAUGAAGAAAACGUUGUCAUGUGGCAAAUUUAGGAAGAAUAAUGUAUAGGUAUUGAUAUUGAUCAUUUAUUCUUUUUCUUUUUGGGUUGAUUGAUUUGAUAUUCAAAUACUUAUACGUGU
rnacentral:lncRNA from 1 species